UGUAAAUAUCUGCUAUCCAGAGUUUUGUUUUCCUGCGUUUCCCAUCCAACUGAAUUUGCGCACUGCAGAAUACAAAGCAAAACAAUCAGACAAGUGCGCCAUGGUUUCGUUGAGUGAAUUGAACGUUUUAUGCGAUAAAGUGAGGUCAAUAUGGGGAAGUAUAAGAGAAACUAAAGCGUAAAUAUUGCCCAAUGCAUUUUUGGAUAAACAAAGGAAACCAGCAGGGGCAUUAUUGGCCGAGAAGUUGUCGUUUAGUUCGCCCCCCGCCUGAGGCUGUUGCAAAUUACCUUGUCGUUAGAAAGUGUGUCCAACAAUGGUCUGCGAUACAACAGGUCAUCUCCAGGCCAUCGCCCGAAUAGACAAGCCACUUCUAAUGCACACGUUGUUUAUUAUAAUACUUCACCUAAUGUACGGAUAGAAAGAGAGAUAUCUGUCGAUGUGGACCAUGAGGAAACGAAUGCACAAAAUCUCGAAAAUAUCGAAUUGGAAUUGUACAUUCACAAGUUUAAAUUAGCUUUAUUGGGAUUCGCAUUUUUGGCGAUAUGUGUCUUGUUUGGGGCCAACUAUUUAAGCACAGGGCAACUGUGGCGAUUAGGAGUGGAAACGCUGGUCGUCAUUUCCGUACUCUUAAUAGUACUACUUUUAGGAGCAAUUAUAAUCAUGUAUUUAGACGAAAGACAUAAUGCUAAUGUUGCGAUAGCCAAUCAGCAAAAUGCGGAACGCCGUAGUAUCCAGCUUGAGACGGAAUACGCAGAAGAGCAGGAACCACAGAGACCAACACAACUGUCCAUAGACGAUUCCGGUAUGCGUGAAAUGUCUCCGCCGCCAUAUCAUAUAGCGAUUAGAUUAACAAAUCAAACCGAGUUAGAAGAAAUUCAAAUCUACAAUGACCAGUCUCCUCCGCCGCCAUACGAAAAAGCCGUUACUUGACUCCAAUUCGUUGUAUAACUUAUUUUCUCUAAGAGCUUUAUCGAUAUAUAUAUUUUGAGACACUGUAUUUUGUUGUAUACAUUAAUGUCAUAAGUAAUAUGGUAACACCACAGAUAUAAUAAGAUCUAUUAUGCGUCUAUAUUAAUAUAAUCUAAGAAUCAAACAACCAAAAGUAAAAAACUGCUUUUAAAAAGACCUUGCAGAGUUGUAAAUAAGAAUAAAUAAUCGACUAUUAUUACAUGCCGAAAUAAAACAAACAAAAUAAGUUAAAGCUUAGACCAUCAGAAACACCUACAAAAUUAAUAAUCCAAACAUCAAUAAGUAAUAAGAGUAGAAUUAAUACUAAUAAAUAUUAAAAGACUUUUCUUCCUUCUUUCUGCCUUAAAAUAUUUCACGAAGAACUUCAGUUAUCUAUAUCAUGCAAUAAAAAUUAUUCAAUGCUCAGAUGACAUAUAAAUGGAUACCUGGAAACUCAUUCCCAUAAAGACUGUAUUGAUAUGCCAAAUAUUUUAGAAUAAAUGAUUCUUAUUUCUAUACUGUUUAUUUGAUAUGUAGAUAUAGAAGAAAUACAUACAAAUA
rnacentral:misc_RNA from 1 species